CCUACGGGAGGCAGCAGUGGGGAAUUUUGGACAAUGGGCGCAAGCCUGAUCCAGCAAUGCCGCGUGAGUGAAGAAGGCCUUCGGGUUGUAAAGCUCUUUUGUCAGGGAAGAAACGGUCUACUCUAAUACAGUGGGCUAAUGACGGUACCUGAAGAAUAAGCACCGGCUAACUACGUGCCAGCAGCCGCGGUAAUACGUAGGGUGCAAGCGUUAAUCGGAAUUACUGGGCGUAAAGCGUGCGCAGGCGGUUAUAUAAGUCAGAUGUGAAAUCCCCGGGCUCAACCUGGGAACUGCAUUUGAGACUGUAUGGCUAGAGUGUGUCAGAGGGGGGUAGAAUUCCACGUGUAGCAGUGAAAUGCGUAGAUAUGUGGAGGAAUACCGAUGGCGAAGGCAGCCCCCUGGGAUAACACUGACGCUCAUGCACGAAAGCGUGGGGAGCAAACAGGAUUAGAUACCCUGGUAGUCCACGCCCUAAACGAUGUCUACUAGUUGUCGGGACUUAAUUGUCUUGGUAACGCAGCUAACGCGUGAAGUAGACCGCCUGGGGAGUACGGUCGCAAGAUUAAAACCGUNAAUGAGUAGAGCGNGAGAGAGCGAGACGACGACGAGGGAGGAGG
rnacentral:rRNA from 1 species